rnacentral:lncRNA from 1 species
AAUUUGAGAAGGAAGAAGAUACAAAUUUGCUGCCACGUAUUAAUUUUUAUAGGAUAAACUUUAAAUACCACCCUUGUGGUUUCGCACUCUCUCACUUUAAUAUUUUAUAGUUUAAAGUGUAUCAAUUUCAUAUCUUGUGGUUUCAUUUUUUUUUUUCCUUAAAUUUUUUUUAUCGUUAAAUCAGUGACAAAGUUAAACCUAAAAAGUAUUAAAGUAAAUAUUCGAAAACCUAGGUGGGGUAUCUAAAGUUUUUUGUAUAUAAUUUAACAAAAUAUUAACGGAGGAGCUAACGAAAAGAGAAAAGUAAAACCACAGGAUACUAAAUUGAUAUACUUUAAACCACAGAAUAUUAAAAUGAGAAAAUGCGAAACCACAUGGGUGAUAUUUAAAAUUUAUCUAUUUUUAUAUAUUAUAUUAAAAAGUUAAUUUAAUUUUAUUUUUUUAUAAAUUUGAAUCUAUUUUAGGCCCCGUGCAGCUUAGUUUGUUAUUGAGAUCUAUUUAACGCUAUUAGUGUAGUAUUCUUAGGUUUACUUUUGUUUUUUUUAUUAUUAUUAUUUAUUUCUCUCUUUGAGUUGGUAUGGGGGGCAUGGUGGUCAUUUGGUUGUGAUAAGAAUGCCACGUAUCCUUUCAUGUUUAUCCUCUCAAUUAAUUGAGAGUGUGCAUGUUUUUAUUUCUCUCCUAUAUUUGACCGUACGCAAGGAGAAGGAGAAUCCGGUUGGAGCUCAUGUGUCGCCGACGUCGCGCCACGGUACCGUUUGAGCGUGUGUUCGUCGUCGUAACAUCGCGAGAAAGCCAGGUGAGUGUGCGUUUUUGCCGUUCUCGACGUCGCACUGGAUUGGAUUUAGCUUUUGAGGUGGGUUUAUCAUCGGAAUCCUACUCCUAUAGUAUUGUUGGUCGACAUAUAUCGUUAAUAUUACAAGUUGUUAUUGUUUAGCUCAAAUUCAUGAGUAGAUAUGUUUUAGACAUAUAAACUGAAUUGGGAGCAUGUUAUUAGUUGCUAUUAAUCAUGCAUGUGAGGCUUGGAUAAAAUAUAGGAGAAAACCAGCGUUCGGGACCUGGCAUAUGUUGAACUACCUGAUUUAGCCCUAGGGGCCAUUGUAUUUUUAUACUGUUGCAGUAUCCUCAUAGUAAGUAUCCCAGGUAGUUCAGAUUUCAGUUACGCUCGUGCUAGGAUGCCGAGCCGAUUUUUAUAGUAGUGUUUACAGUGUUCCGGAUUAGUGGGUGCCGUAGUGGUUGACUGCGGACCCGGAUUUGAUCGUUUCGAUAUCAGAUUGUGCCGAGGGCACGUGACUAGGGGUUGGUAGUACUGUUAGACCUGUUUUCUUGACUUUAGCCUGUGAGAGCCUGAUUCAGCUCGACAGAGAUAUGCUUGCAUACUCGGUUGGGUCGCGCCCACGAGUGCCGCUCUGGAGUUUGGCUUUGUGCUUUCGCAUUAAUGUUACCGACUAGUUUUGCUAUCCACGGACUGUUUUGCGUGGAGGUAGCGUAGCUUAAACAGGCGGGACGGGUGCGUUCACAGUCCCCGGGACGGGUGUGUUCACAGUCCCUAUUGAGAUUGGGUCAGAUUUGACAGUUACUACAGUUGGAUAGUGUAGUGGCAGGUAGCUGUAGAUUUCUUUCCAGCUUUAACUACUAGUUUGUUUCUGACUGUAGUCUUAGUGGGUGGACCGAUGAUAUUGAGGGCGGUACCCAUUGAGGACUGCUUGUUUUUACAGUAGUUCUCACGCCCAGUUGUUACCACUGUUUUGUAGAGCCACCGAUUUCAGUUGUUGCGCCUUCCGAGGCUGAUCGAGGCAAGAGCGUCGCGAGUUAGAGUCCUACCCGACGAGUAGCUGAGAUAGAGGAUCCACCACUGCAGCUAGUUUCGGUUUAUUUUGGUGAGUUCAUGUACAUACAGUUGUUAUAACUCGUUGGAGCGAGUACCUUUGUAUAGCGUUUUGUUGUAUGUAUGUGAGACUUGUUUUAUUCUACCUGUUUGGUUUCUUUACAGCUCUAUACUACUGAUUGUAGUAUUGUAUAUUUUCAGUUACCGAUACGCUUCGUAUACAGAAAAAAUUCUUUGUAUACGGCGGAUUUGUCGACGUGCCCGGGAAUUGUGUAAUCCGGGGCGUGACAAUUAGAUAAAAUGGACUUGAGGAAAAAGCAUAUAGGGAUAUGCUUCUGUGUUCUUCGAUGGGACCGCAGAAAAUAUAUCGUAAUCGACUCAUCGUGAUAUGCGGAACACAAUAUUACGUACGGAAACAAACAGGGUAUUUUCCCAACAUACUUUCUCAUCACACGUAACGUAAUCUUCCUGCAAUCCUAAACGAAGCCUCCCUAAACCCUAACCCUAAACCCUAAACCCUAAACCUAAGCCUUAGGUCAUUUAGGAUUACGGGGAGAUUACGUUACGUGCGGUGAGAAAGUAUGUUGGGAAAAUAUCGUGUUUGUUUCCGUACGUAAUAUUGCGUUCCGCAUAUCGCGAAGAAUCGGUUACGAUAUAUUUUUUGCGGUCCUACCGAAGAACGCAGAAGCAUAUCCGCUUUUUUCUUAACUCAGCGUUAGAUAGAUCUCAAUACCAAACUAGUAUUGAGAUCUAUCUAACGCUAUUAGAUAAAAUGGGGUUGAGGAAAAAGCAUAUAGGGAGAUGCUUUUGCGUUCUCCGGUGGGACUGCGGAAAAUAUAUCGUAACCGACUCAUCGCGAUAUGCGGAAUGCAAUAUUACGUAUGGAAACAGGCUUCGUUUGGGAUUGCGGGGAGAUUGCGUUAUGUGCGGUGAGAAACGACGACUGUUUGUUUCCAUACGUAAUAUUGCGUUCCGCAUAUCGCGAUGAGUCGGUUACGAUAUAUUUUCUGCAGUCCCACCGGAGAACGCAGAAGCAUAUCUCUAUAUGUUUUUUUUCUCAACUCCAUUUUAUCUAAUAGCGUUAAAUAGAUCUCAAUACCAAACUGAGCCUUAGUCUACAAACAAAA